AAAUAUGAAGCAAUCCCUGCAUUUAAUUUCGACUUAAAAGAGAGAGUUAGCUACUCCUUAUUUU
rnacentral:tRNA from 1 species